rnacentral:rRNA from 1 species
UACGUAGGGACCGAGCGUUGUCCGGAAUCAUUGGGCGUAAAGAGCGUGUAGGCGGCCACUUAAGUCCUGCGUGAAAUCUUGCGGCUCAACCGCAAGCGGUCGUGGGAAACUGGGUGGCUAGAGUGCGGGAGAGGAGAGUGGAGUUCCUGGUGUAGCGGUGGAAUGCGCAGAUAUCAGGAAGAACACCCGUGGCGAAGGCGGCUCUCUGGAACGCAACUGACGCUGAGACGCGAAAGCGUGGGGAGCAAACAGG